GCUACGGGAGGCAGCAGUGGAGAAUAUUGCACAAUGGGCGCAAGCCUGAUGCAGCGACGCCGCGUGGGGGAUGAAGGCCUUCGGGUUGUAAACUCCUUUCGCUAGGGACGAAGCUUUUUGGUGACGGUACCUAGAUAAGAAGCACCGGCUAACUACGUGCCAGCAGCCGCGGUC
rnacentral:rRNA from 1 species